rnacentral:rRNA from 1 species
AACGAACGCUGGCGGCAUGCCUAACACAUGCAAGUCGAACGAUGCCUUCGGGCAUAGUGGCGCACGGGUGCGUAACGCGUGGGAAUCUGCCCUUGGCUUCGGAAUAACAGUUAGAAAUGACUGCUAAUACCGGAUGAUGUCCCCCUGAGAGAUCUUGGGGACCAAAGAUUUAUCGGCCAGGGAUGAGCCCGCGUAGGAUUAGGUAGUUGGUGGGGUAAAGGCCUACCAAGCCGACGAUCCUUAGCUGGUCUGAGAGGAUGAUCAGCCACACUUGGACUGAGACACGGCCCAGACUCCUACGGGAGGCAGCAGUGGGGAAUAUUGGACAAUGGGGGGAACCCUGAUCCAGCAAUGCCGCGUGAGUGAUGAAGGCCUUAGGGUUGUAAAGCUCUUUUACCAGGGAUGAUAAUGACAGUACCUGGAGAAUAAGCUCCGGCUAACUCCGUG